UACGAAGGGGGCUAGCGUUGCUCGGAAUUACUGGGCGUAAAGGGCGCGUAGGCGGACAGUUUAGUCAGAGGUAAAAGCCCAGGGCUCAACCUUGGAACUGCCUUUGAUACUGGCUGUCUUGAGUUCGGGAGAGGUGAGUGGAAUGCCGAGUGUAGAGGUGAAAUUCGUAGAUAUUCGGCGGAACACCAGUGGCGAAGGCGACUCGCUGGCCCGAUACUGACGCUGAGGCGCGAAAGCGUGGGGAGCAAACGGG
rnacentral:rRNA from 1 species